rnacentral:misc_RNA from 1 species
UUUCCGUAGGUGAACCUGCGGAAGGAUCAUUACCGAGUUAGGGUCUCCUCCGUGAGGCCCGACCUCCCAACCCUAUGUGAAUCGUACUCGUUGCUUCGGGGGCGACCCUGCCGUCCGCGGCUGAGCGCCCCCGGGGUCAAUCAAACACUGCAUUCUCUGCGUCGGAGUAUUAGUAAAUCUAAUCAAAACUUUCAACAACGGAUCUCUUGGUUCUGGCAUCGAUGAAGAACGCAGC